rnacentral:rRNA from 1 species
AGUGAACGCUGGCGGUAGGCCUAACACAUUCAAGUCGAACGGCAGCACAGGAGAGCUUGCUCUCUGGGUGGCGAGUGGCGGACGGGUGAGGAAUACAUCGGAAUCUACUCUGUCGUGGGGGAUAACGUAGGGAAACUUACGCUAAUACCGCAUACGACCUACGGGUGAAAGCAGGGGAUCUUCGGACCUUGCGCGAUUGAAUGAGCCGAUGUCGGAUUAGCUAGUUGGCGGGGUAAAGGCCCACCAAGGCGGCUAUCCGUAGCUGCUCUGAGAGGGGGAUCAGCCCAACUGGAACUGAGACACGGUCCAGAGUCCUACGGGAGGCAGGAGUGGGGAAUAUUGGACAAUGGGCGCAAGCCUGAUCCAGCCAUACUGCGUGAGUGAAGAAGGCCUUCGGGUUGUAAAGCCCUUUUGUUGGAAAAGAAAUACAGCUGGCUAAUACCCGGUUGGGAUGACGGUACCCAAAGAAUAAGCACCGGCUAACUUCGUGCCAGCAGCCGCGGUAA